AUAAUGAAAACUAGCUCUAUAAUAGGAAUCAGGAACUAAUCCUAUCCCUUAAUUAUUGAGGUCGGACGACCGUAAUCUUUCCCGUGUCAUUAACUGCCAUCCAAUCAUUUUCUUUAGAUUUUUCAAUUUUCUCUCUCUCGUCGUCCAUCUGCUUCAACAUUUUCUCCAAUCUUCGUUCUCCGACCAGAUUUUCUUUCGAGGCACUAGGAAAAGGAAUUCGAGAAAUUAAUUGAAGUUAUCUUCUACACCAUGCAUGACGGGAUACUUCUUGGCCGAGGAUGCAUUAAAUGUCUCUUAACUUUUUAAUGCUAGUUUCUGAAACCAAAUUGAAAUAUGAGCAAAUAAAUGAAACUUAAUAUAAUUCACUGUUAUGUUUUUUCUGUUUGAUUGGUUAUGUAAUAGUUAAAUUUGUAGACAAUUCCUGCAACAAAGGUGUAAAAAAAUAGAGGGUGUGAUGUAUUAUGCUAUGAAAUGGUGGAUUCCUCACCUCCUUUGCAAUAGUGUAGAGGGAGAAGAAGAAAAUUUGACAAAGCAAGUAUCUCCUCGUUAAAUGAAUGUGAGGAGGACAAUUAUCUUUCUAUAUGA